UACGUAGGGUGCGAGCGUUAAUCGGAAUUACUGGGCGUAAAGCGUGCGCAGGCGGUUUUGUAAGCCAGUUGUGAAAUCCCCGGGCUCAACCUGGGAACUGCAUCUGUGACUGCAUCGCUGGAGUGCGGCAGAGGGGGAUGGAAUUCCGCGUGUAGCAGUGAAAUGCGUAGAGAUCCGGAGGAACCCCAGAGGCGAAGGCGGCGUCCUGGCUCGCAUCUGACGCUCAGACACGACAGCAUGGGGAGCGAACGGG
rnacentral:rRNA from 1 species